rnacentral:rRNA from 1 species
GACGAACGCUGGCGGCGUGCUUAACACAUGCAAGUCGAACGGAAAGGCCCUGCUUUUGUGGGGUGCUCGAGUGGCGAACGGGUGAGUAACACGUGAGUAACCUGCCCUUGACUUUGGGAUAACUUCAGGAAACUGGGGCUAAUACCGGAUAGGAGCUCCUGCUGCAUGGUGGGGGUUGGAAAGUUUCGGCGGUUGGGGAUGGACUCGCGGCUUAUCAGCUUGUUGGUGGGGUAGUGGCUUACCAAGGCUUUGACGGGUAGCCGGCCUGAGAGGGUGACCGGCCACAUUGGGACUGAGAUACGGCCCAGACUCCUACGGGAGGCAGCAGUGGGGAAUAUUACACAAUGGGCGGAAGCCUGAUGCAGCAACGCCGCGUGCGGGAUGGCGGCCUUCGGGGUGGAAACCGCUUUCGCCUGUGACGAAGCGUGAGUGACGGUAAUGGGUAAAGAAGCACCGGCUAACUACGUG